GACGAACGCUGGCGGCGUGCUUAACACAUGCAAGUCGAACGGAAAGGCCCCUUUGGGGGUCCUCGAGUGGCGCACGGGUGAGUAACACGUGAGUAACCUGCCCUUGACUUCGGGAUAACUUCAGGAAACUGGGGCUAAUACCGGAUAGGAAUCCUUGCUGCAUGGUGGGGGUUGGAAAGCUUCGGCGGUUUUGGAUGGACUCGCGGCGUAUCAGCUUGUUGGUGGGGUAGUGGCUUACCAAGGCUUUGACGGGUAGCCGGCCUGAGAGGGCGACCGGCCACAUUGGGACUGAGGUACGGCCCAGACUCCGACGGGAGGCAGCAGUGGGAAAUAUUGCACAAUGGGCGGAAGCCGGAUGCAGCAACGCCGCGGGCGGGAUGACGGCCUUCGGGUUGUAAACCGCUUUCAGCAGGGGCGAAGCUUGUGGUGACGUUACCUGCAGAAGAAGCACCGGCUAACUACGUG
rnacentral:rRNA from 1 species